AACGAACGCUGGCGGCAUGCCUAACACAUGCAAGUCGAACGAUCCCUUCGGGGAUAGUGGCGCACGGGUGCGUAACGCGUGGGAACCUGCCCUUAGGUUCGGAAUAACUCAGAGAAAUUUGAGCUAAUACCGGAUAAUGUCUUCGGACCAAAGAUUUAUCGCCUUUGGAUGGGCCCGCGUUGGAUUAGCUAGUUGGUGGGGUAAAGGCCUACCAAGGCGACGAUCCAUAGCUGGUCUGAGAGGAUGAUCAGCCACACUGGGACUGAGAAACGGCCCAGACUCCUACGGGAGGCAGCAGUGGGGAAUAUUGGACAAUGGGCGAAAGCCUGAUCCAGCAAUGCCGCGUGAGUGAUGAAGGCCGUAGGGUUGUAAAGCUCUUUUACCCGGGAUGAUAAUGACAGUACCGGGAGAAUAAGCCCCGGCUAACUCCGUG
rnacentral:rRNA from 1 species